rnacentral:rRNA from 1 species
UAUUAAURGUUAUAGUCUUAUAAAAUUAAAAAAUUUGGCGGUAUUUUAGUCUUUUCAGAGGAAUCUGUCCUGUAAUUGAUAAUCCACGAUUAGAAUUACUUAUUUUACAAAUUUGUAUAUCGUUGUAGUUGAAUAUUUUUUAAGAAUUCAAAUAUUCAUAAAAUUUAAUUAAAUAAAAAAUCAAAUCAAGGUGCAGUUUAUAAAUAAGAAGAGAUGGAUUACAAUAUAAUAAUAUGUGAAUUUUUAAUUUAAAAUUAAAAUGAAAAUGGAUUUGAAAGUAAUUUUUAAAUUUUAWUAAAAU